rnacentral:tRNA from 2 species
GGCUCCAUAGCUCAGUUGGUUAGAGCGUAGCACUGUUAUUCUCUCGCCACACACUGCAGCCGCCUCCGCCCGCCGCGCAAGGCUGCCCAAUCCGGCAGCUGGUGGGCAGCAAGGCGCCUACGGAGAGAUGCUGAGGUCGGCGGUUCGAGCCCGCCUGGGGUCG